AUUGAAAAGGAUGGAUUAAGUGCAGCGAAACAAAAAGAUCUGUGCUUAAUUGCCAUAGAUUACAGAAUCGAUGAAUUUUUUUGAUGUUGCGCUUUAAAUGGUGAAUGCUCAUACCGUAUAUGGUGCUUCACCUCCUUUAGUUUGGUAUAUAUUUGUGUCUCCCAUUUAUCGUUGAAGUUUAACCUGAAAAUAAGCAAAGAAUAAGAUUCACAGUUGGUUGUACAAUCUUGGUUCAGAAGAUCGGACCAAAGAAUCUGGUCCACCGUUUUGUGUAGUAUGUAAUAAUAUGAUCACAUUAUGUUUCUCUUUUCUCUAAGACAUUGUUUUUGGUCGACAUUGAUAUUCCAGAUUUAGUUGUAUAGAUCAAAUCAGAUAAUAUAGAUUUUAAAACCGAUUAAGCAAUUAACAUGUAACUUCCCAUCAGAUUAUUCCUAUCAUGAGAUCAACAAUAGUAAUAUAGUUUUAACAUGAAUAAAGAUCUAUGUGUGUGCUUGAUCCUCUCAGGGCCUUGUUAGGACUUUACAUGAUGGUGAAUUAUAUCUAACCAAGUCAACCAAAAGUGAAAAUUUAUGCUUUAAUUUGGCAAUCCAAUACCAAAUUAGCAGAGUCCAUUCAGGAUUAUUAAGAUACUUUGAUCAAAAUGGUAGAACCAUAACUUCUUAUUCAGAUAUGGCGGCUGUAAAUUGACCUAUAUAAAAAAUUACCAGAUUGAUCCAAAUUUCUGCAUAAAAUUCCUCAAGCUCCAAAUUGGAUCAUCAGACAAACUUGCGAUUACUGUUAUAUAUUGAUAUGUUAUGCGUCUUUUGUUUUGAUGAUUUGACAAACUUUAUGAGAAAACCAGAUAGGAACCUGAUACAAUUAGUUCCCUUGCGUUCAGAGUAACUAGUCAGAUGUCUGGUUCAAUUCUCAAUGAAAUCAGAUAAGGGAACAACAGAGGGAACAUAUAGGGAUCAGUUCUCCUAGUCGUCGUGCAGUCAACUCUAUAGCUGUAAAAGCUGUUGCACUGUACCGUAUGGCAGGCUGCUGCUCCACCAAACUUCGAGGAAGGACAAUCAACCUAUAGACCCAAGAUUCAAUGACCAAUACUAUGGUUGGUGAAAAACAAGAAUACAUGACUUCAUUAUGGCUGAAUACUCCGAACUUUGGGACGUGAUUUGUGAUGGUCCCUUUGUCCCUAUGAAGGUUGUUGGAGAGGGAACAAGGACUAUUCCAAAGACAAGAAAAGAAUACAAUGAUGCUGACUGAAAAGUUGUUGAGAAGAACUUCAAGGCGAAGAAGAUUCUUGUAUGUGGUAUUGGACCAGACGAGUAUAAUCGUAUCUCGGCAUGUGAAUAUGCCAAGGAAAUCUGGGAAGCUCUUAAAACGGCUCACGAGGGAACUACUCAGGUGAAGCAGUCUAAAAUAGAUAUGCUUACAACUGAGUAUGAUCUCUUUAAAAUGAAAGAGGAUGAAGCCAUUCAAGAGAUGCAUACCUGUUUCACCUCCAUAAUCAAUGAGCUUAAUUCUCUUAGUGAAAUCAUUCCAACCAACAAGCUGGUCCGGAAGACACUCAGUGUUCUACCAGGUUCCUGGGGGAGAAAGGUUAAUGUUAUCACUAAAGCCAAAGACCUACAAAAGCUGACUAUUGACGAGCUUAUUGGAAAUCUCAAAACUUAUGAGAUGAAGAGAAAGAAGGUUAUUGAAAGAAGAGAGCCCAAUAAGGAGAAGAAACUAGUUCUCCAGGCUUCCAACAAUGACUCAAGUAGUGAUGGAUCUAACAUGGAGUAUCUCAUUCGAAGAUUCCAAAAGAUGAUUCAAAAACAUGGUGGGAUUCCAAAGAAAGGAAGUUCCAGUAGGAAUUUCAAAGGAAAUGAUUGCUGUCAUAAGUGUAGAAAGUCUGGACACUUCAUUAAAGACUGUCCUCCUUAUAAGCAGGAUCAUUACAAAAUCAACACUGAUAAGGUGGCUAAGAUAAACCAGGUCCCUGAUAGGAAGUUCAAAAGAAGAGAUAUUGUUGACAACAUGAUGAAGUAAGCUUUGGCUGACUGGGGAGAUUCCUCCAGUGAAUCUGAAGGCGAGGAUGAACAAGGAGAUGCAUCUAUGAUGGUUGUUGACAAUUAAUCUUCAGAAUAUGAGUCAAUCUUUGCACUCAUGGCAAAAUUUGAUGAUGAAGAGGAAAAUGAGUAAGAUGAGGUAAGUUUUCUUGAUGUUCAAAGAAAUUUAAAAACUCUCUAAGAAAAAAUUGAUGUCCUUAACAAAUGUUUUGAUUGAUGCUUAUCAUAGCCUCAUUAAUGAGAAAAAUGCUCUAAUUAAAGAAAUUGAUGACAUAGAACAAGAGAGGGAUGAUAUGGUAGUUUCUAUUGUAGACUUGAAGGAACAUGUGGAAGAAGUAACCAGAGAAAUACCUUAUUGAAAAACUAAAUGAAAAAAUGGAUGGACACCCCUAAGGGUAAAAAGUGGCUAGUGAAGCUCAACUUGAGCUUGAGAGUGAGCUUAAGAAAGUUAAAACAAGUCUUGUUGUUGAGAUUGAAAAGAAUAGACAACUUCAGGAGGAUCUGAAAAGGGUUUAAAAUGAUCUUGAUAAGUCACUUAAAUGUACCCGGUCCUCUGAUGUGAUAACGUCUAUGUGCAAGAGUGAUGGUGGAAACAAGUAAGGAAUUGAAUUCCAAAAGGCUAAAACCUCCUUUAAUCCCCAUAGCAAGUAUGUAACUGUGGCUGAUAAUUGGUUGUGUACUCAUUGUGGUCAAACGGGUCAUUACAAAGACUCUUGUAAAACUAAUAUUCAGUCUUUGUAGAAAAAUAAAUUUUUUGUUGAAAAGAUGCCUACUGUUGAGGAACCUGGUUCCCCAAAAAGAAAAUAUGUGAUGCCUGCAUGGGCAAAAAUAAGUUUGAUCCGCCCGUUCUAUCAUUAUAAGGGAUCCAAGCUGGCUUGGGUUCCUAAGUCUAAUAAGUGAUUUCAUGUGCAGGCUGGAGUGAAAGGUAGCAGUCAAAAAAUAGUACAUGGAUAGCAGCUGCUCUAAGCAUAUGACUGGAAUAAUGGACGAUUUCCUCUCACUCUAGGCCUUCCAAUGUGGGAGUGUGUCCUUUGAAAACGACAAGAAGGGCUAUAUUCUUAGUGUUGGCAAAAUUGACAAAACACUCCCCCGUGUAACUGAAAAUGUGUACCAUGUGAAUGGCUUGAAAUAUAGCUUGUUGAGUAUGUCUCAAAUUUUGUGAUAAGGGAAAAUGAAGUGAAGUUCUUGUCCAAAUCUUGCAUUGUCACCAAUCUCAAAACUGGUGAAGUGUUGUUGAUAGCCAAAAUGUACAAGAACAUCUAUGUUGCAGACCUUGAUUCACUGAAUGAUGGUGAUCUAACAUGCCUAAGUGUCAUUGAUGAUGAUGCUGAGUUAUGCGCAGUCGAUUGGGCAUGUGAGUUUUUAUUUGCUGAACAAGUUUGUCAUGAAGGACCUAGUUCGUGGGCUGAAGCAGUCAACACUGCCUGCUACUUGAUUAACAAGUGCAUGAUCAGGUCCCUUCUCGAGAAGUCUCUCUAUGAACUUCUCAAUGGGAGAAAAUCUAAGCUGACUUACCCGAGAGCCUUUGGAUGCAAAAUGUUUUGUUCUCAACCAUGAUGGCAAAGGGUCACAUAACAAAGACGAUGAAGAUGAAGAAUUUACAAAUGUUCCUGGUGAAGCUAUAGAUAUUGCAAAUGGAAAGACUGAUUUGGUGAGUCAAGUCAAGCAGAGUGAUGAAGGAGAUGCAGCAGAAUCUCCAAAAGGCACAGAGGAACCUGGUCCCUCUAUCACCUCGACUGAAGCUGAACAUAUGGUUGCUGAUGUUGCAUUAGGUACUCCUGAUGCAGAACAAAGGAAUGAAAGUUGAGCAUAAGAACAUCAAAGAAGCAUUAAAAAUGCUAACUGGAUAGCUGUUAUGCAAGAAGAAAUCCAUCAUUUUGAGAGGAACAAAGUGUGGCACAUGGUCCCUAGGCUUUCAAACAGAACAAUGAUUGGAACCUAGCCCAAAAGAAUCUCACUUGAAGGAUGCCAAAGGAAUUUUGAAGUAUCCUAAGGGAACGCAGGACUUAGUCCUCGUCUAUUUUUCAAGAGAUAAUUUUGACUUGGUUGGAUAUGCUAAUGCUUAUUAUAUUGGAUAUCUGGUGGAUAGAAAGAGAAUAUCUGGAAUGACACAUUUUAUGGGGUCAUGCUUGAUCUUAUGGGGUACAAAGAAAUAAACUUUGUGGCUCUUUCUACUGUUAAUGCUGACUUGAACCUUAUACAUCACAAGAGGACAAAGCACAUUGAUGUGCGACAUCACUUUUUGAGGGAUAAUGUUGAAAAAGGUCUGAUUUUUAUGAAGUUCUAGAAGAUAGAGAACCAGGUAGCAAACAUCUUCACCAAGGCGCUAAGCAAGGAACAUUUUGAAAGAAAUCGUCUGGAGUUGGGGUUGAUCAAGCUCAACUAAGGACCUGGUCCCUUGAUGAUUGGCUAUGUUAAGAAGGAAAGCUACAAUUCUAAAAGGUAUUUUUCAAUGACAUCUAACUCAAAUCUAUACUGUUACAGGUAUACAUACAUGGCAGUUUCAGGACAAAACAAGUAAGAGUGGCAUUGAACUUCUAGAAAUCUUUGCUCAGAUUUUCAAAAACCGUCAAGGAACCUGGUUCCUGCGACAUAAGUUAGUAGUCUUUCUAAUACUUAUAUGCCUUUUUAACCUGUUGAAGUGUCAUGUCAUUCAUUUAUUCCCACCGCUCGCCUAAUUUUUAAAGUCCAAAAUGUUAAACCUUUUUUGAACUGACUGGUUGCCCCCAAAAAAACUACUUUCUUCUCUUACACCCAACCAAAACCGAUUCUUUUCUUCAAAGCCAAAAUCAACCUUGUCUAAAAAAAAAAAUCCUUUUCUCCAAAUAUGCUAGAAGUUAACCCAGCUCUGUCACCUUCCAAAAUCCUAACUCUAUCUGAAUCAAAACCACAAGAAGUCUUUGGUAGAUUUUGAUGGAAGUUUAACAGAAAAGGAAGGGGUAGAUCAAAUAUUCUAGAGCGUGAGGCUAAAAUUGUUGCUGGGAUGUAGAAGUCUUGAAGGAUGGAGGAAUUGAUGAAUGUGCUGAAAAAGGGGGAACUGAAUGAGGGACCUGAUCCCUCAAGUCCUUCUCAGGAUGUUAAUUCUAAUGACCUUUUUCUUUUUGAGUUCUCUGUUUAAACGAACUUCUGAUCCAGUGAAAAGGAUUGAUGAAAAGUAGGUUGAUUGAUGAUGAAGUGGCGUGACCUGCUGAUGUGGUGAAUUUAGAAGAGAGAAUGAAGCCAAAAAUUCUUCACGUGUGAGAAAGAAUUUAAAAAUGAUCAAAAUGGAGAAAAGAAAGUCGGUUGAAAAAGAUGCAACAAAUGAUAAGGGUGAACAGAUUGAGAAGAAGAAGAGGGAGACAUGGCCGCUCAGGAAAAAGAAAGGGUAGUGUGAGUGAGGAACCUGGUUCCUUACAGAAGCAAAAUAUUGAGUUAUCGGGUUUGGAGAGGUACAAGACUCUAAAGUCUCAAAAAGUGCUGUUAGGCAGAGUGUUGACUAUGAUAUUGCUGAAAAAUGAAGGAACUUCUUGACAUUGUUGAGUUCCAAAAAUAGAAUCACCUCUUUGUUCCUCUAAGUCCCAACGUUUAUGAAGAAGAAGUAAAAAUUGGGACUGGGUUUGUUCUUGAUAAGGAGAAGCUUGGGGAGAUGCUUGGUGAUAUGAUUGAUGGUUUAGCCUACUCAGAUAGGUAGAGAACCAGGUCCCCGUGGAGCCUUGGUAGAAUAGAAUUCCCAACUGAAGGGUGAGAAUGGAAGAUUGAUUAAACAUGUGGAGGACCUGAGAGAGCAGAUAAUCAUUGAUCAAAGGAUUGUGAAUGAACGAAUGGACAUGCUCAUCAAGUCCUUCGCCCAUUACUUUUCUUCAUGCUCAGUGAUCCAUGUAUUUCACUCCUUCCAAAUUCCCUCGAAUUCCUAUCUUAUUUUGAUCCCUAUGUUUGAUGACAUUGAUACUUUAGUUGUUUAAAAUAUCAUAUUCUGUAAUGUUGAAACUACUGUGCUUUUAUUAUAAUUACUCUACUAUGGGCAAUUACUUUAUUUCGUGCAAUGACAUUCACUUGUUGUUCUUAUUAUUGUUUAUGUUGUGUUGCCCUAGUAGCAUGAGUUAAUGUUGCUAAACUUCUUUUUGGUUGUGCUUCUUCUGUUAUUCUCUUCAAUGAUCCCAAAAUGGGGAAGUUACACAAGUGUCAACUGGGGGGGGGGGGGGAGGGGGGGAUAUAAUUGAAUUGAUAUGUUGUGUUGUGCAUGAAAGAUAGCGCUGCUUCGCAAGGGGAACGUUACUGAUAACAUGUUGAUUAUAGGUCUGAUCCGCAAGGGAACGUGUGAGGAAUCUGGUUCUCAAGGGGAACAUUAAUUUUGGGUUUGUUAUCAUCAAAAUUGGGGAAAUUGCCCUAAGUUACGAUGUUUCAUGUUUUGAUGAUUUUCCAAACGUUCUCAAGGAACCAGGUAAGGACCAGAUGUGAUCAGUACAUGUAAGGAAUCUGAUUCUCAGGAGAAAUAGCAAUUUUGGGUUUGUCAUCAUCAAAAGGGAAAAAUUGAUAAGUUAUGCUAUUUUGUGUUUUGAUGAUUUGCUAAACAGUCUCGAGGAACCAAUUGUGAUCAGUUCCUUUGGUCUGGUUCUCAUGGGGAAUAUGGAUGAUUCGUAGGGGGAACAAUGUGGGGAUAUGAUUUUCAGGGGGAUAUCAAUUCUAAGUUUGUUAUCAUCAAAAAGGGAGAAAUUGAUAAGUUAUGCGUCUUUUAUUUUGAUGAUUUGACAAACUUCAUGAGAAAACCGGAUAAGGAACCUGAUACAAUCAGUUCCUUUGCAUUCACAGUAAGUAGUCAGAUGUCUGGUUCAAUUCUCAAUGAAAUCAGAUAAGGGAACAGUAGAGAGAACAUAUAUGGAUCACCCCUAGUCGUCGUGCAGUCAACUCUACAGCUGUAAAAGCUGUUGCACUGUACCAUGUGGUAGGCUGCUGCACUGUACCGUCUGGCAGCAGUACAGAAUCACAGUUGUAGCUUGCUAAGACUAAACUAAAGGA
rnacentral:lncRNA from 1 species